GAAGGCAGGGCUGGGGGGGCCCUCAGAAGCCUUGUGCCCCAGCUCCACUUUGGACGCCGUCGUCUGGACCUGGUUCACAGCCGGUGCUCUUGCACUGGCUGCUCAGGUCAAGAGUUCCUUGCAGUAUCUGUUACAUGGGCUCUCACAGAAAAACUGCCCAGAAGGGGACACAGGACACAGUCAAUCCUCUUCUGUAACAGGUAAGAGCGGCCCAGGAAUCAGGUGUAUGUGCUCAUAGGUCUAGAGGCACAUGAAGUCACCGGCUAGGGCAACCCCAUCUUGUCCACCAAGUUAACAGCAAUCACCAGAACCCCCUCCCUCUUCUUAACAUCUUACUCAUAGGUAACUUAAAAGGUAUAUGCAAUUUAAUAUAAAUAUUGCUUAGGCUAGACUGCAAACUUCACACAGAUUGUAAAAUAAAAUGUGAUUUUAGAAAAACCA